GUUAGGAAUAUUGGACAAUGGGCGCAAGCCUGAUCCAGCCAUGCCGCGUGAACGAUGAAGGCCUUCGGGUUGUAAAGUUCUUUAGCCGAUGAUUAUAAUGACUGUAGUCGGAAAAUAAGCCCCGGCUAACUUCGUGCCAGCAGCCGCGGUAAUACGAAGGGGGCGAGCGUUAUUCGGAAUCACUGGGCGUAAAGCGUGCGUAGGCGGUCUCGUAAGUUAGGAGUGAAAGCCCAGGGCUCAACCUUGGAAUUGCUCUUAAAACUGCAAGGCUAGAAUCUCGGAGAGGAUAGCGGAAUUUCCAGUGUAGCAGUGAAAUGCGUAGAUAUUGGAAGGAACACCAGUGGCGUAAGCGGCUAUCUGGACGAGUAUUGACGCUGAGGCACGAAAGCGUGGGGAUCAAACAGGAUUAGAAACCCCGGUAGUCC
rnacentral:rRNA from 1 species